rfam:Rattus norvegicus chromosome 5, whole genome shotgun sequence.
GGGGGUUUAGCUCAGUGGUAGAGCACUUGCCUAGCAAGCACAAGGCCCUGGGUUCAGUCCCCAGCUUCG